GCUAAAAAGCUAGCCCUCCUCCAAAAAACAAUAAACCACUAUUUAUAACCCCAAAUAAACUAAUUAACUUAAAUCAACAAACCAUUUUUCCUUCUUAGUAUAGGUGAUAGAAGAAGGAACCAUAGAGCAAUAGAGAAAAGUACCGUAAGGGAACGCUGAAAAGGAGGAAAUGUAACAAACUC
rnacentral:rRNA from 1 species